rnacentral:rRNA from 1 species
UACGUAGGGUGCGAGCGUUAAUCGGAAUUACUGGGCGUAAAGGGCUCGUAGGUGGCCAACUAAGUCAGACGUGAAAUCCCUCGGCUUAACCGGGGAACUGCGUCUGAUACUGGAUGGCUUGAGAUUGGGAGAGGGAUGCGGAAUUCCAGGUGUAGCGGUGAAAUGCGUAGAUAUCUGGAGGAACACCGGUGGCGAAGGCGGCAUCCUGGACCGGUAUUGACGCUGAGGCGCGAAAGCCAGGGGAGCAAACGGG